rnacentral:tRNA from 2 species
GCGGUCAUGGCGGAACUGGUAGACGCGUACGUUUGAGGGGCGUAUGGGAUUUCCCGUGUGAGUUCGAUUCUCAUUGGCCGCACCA